CACGGGGGGAGCAAGCGUUGUUCGGAUUUACUGGGCGUAAAGCGCACGUAGGCGGAUCGUUAAGUCGGGGGUGAAAUCCUGGAGCUCAACUCCAGAACUGCCUUCGAUACUGGCGAUCUUGAGUCCGGAAGAGGUGAGUGGAACUCCUAGUGUAGAGGUGGAAUUCGUAGAUAUUAGGAAGAACACCAGUGGCGAAGGCGGCUCACUGGUCCGGUACUGACGCUGAGGUGCGAAAGCGUGGGGAGCAAACAGG
rnacentral:rRNA from 1 species